rnacentral:rRNA from 1 species
GAGCUUGCUCUUUGGAAAAGUGGCGCACGGGUGCGUAACGCGUAUGCAACCUACCUUAAUCAGGGGGAUAGCCCGAAGAAAUUCGGAUUAACACCGCAUAAAAACACAGAGUAGCAUUACUCCAUGUUCAAAUAUUUAUAGGAUUAAGAUGGGCAUGCGUGUCAUUAGCUAGUUGGCGGGGUAACGGCCCACCAAGGCGACGAUGACUAGGGGAUCUGAGAGGAUGACCCCCCACACUGGUACUGAGACACGGACCAGACUCCUACGGGAGGCAGCAGUAAGGAAUAUUGGUCAAUGGAGGCAACUCUGAACCAGCCAUGCCGCGUGCAGGAAGACAGCCCUAUGGGUCGUAAACUGCUUUUAUCUGGGAAUAAACCUUUCUACGUGUAGAGAGCUGAAUGUACCAGAAGAAUAAGGAUCGGCUAACUCCGUGCCAGCAGCCGCGGUAAUACGGAGGAUCCAAGCGUUAUCCGGAUUUAUUGGGUUUAAAGGGUGCGUAGGCGGCCUGUUAAGUCAGAGGUGAAAGACGGUAGCUCAACUAUCGCAGUGCCUUUGAUACUGACGGGCUUGAAUAACUAGAGGUAGGCGGAAUGAGACAAGUAGCGGUGAAAUGCAUAGAUAUGUCUCAGAACACCGAUUGCGAAGGCAGCUUACUAUGGUUU